GCAGCUUCCGGGAGCGCCGACACUCGGAGCAGUGGAGAGAAAUGCUGUGGACUGUGUGUGACGCCCUCCUCUUUUUGGUCCUAUCAAAAAAAGGUUCCACUCUAUUAUUUUCCGUUACAUACCUUGAUGUUUCCCUGGGGAGUGAUUUGGCGGUGGCACCUGUGUGAGCAGCUUCCGUGAGCGCCGACACUCGGAGCAGUGGGGAGAAAUGCUGUGGACUGUGUGUGGACUGUGGACUGUGUGUGACGCCCUCCUCUUUUUGGUCCUAUCAAAAAAAG